GCCACACUGGAACUGAGACACGGUCCAGACUCCUACGGGAGGCAGCAGUGGGGAAUAUUGGACAAUGGGCGCAAGCCUGAUCCAGCAAUGCCGCGUGUGUGAAGAAGGCCUUCGGGUUGUAAAGCACUUUUAUCGGGAGCGAAAUACUAUCGGUUAAUAACCGGUGGGGCUGACGGUACCCGAGGAAUAAGCACCGGCUAACUUCGUGCCAGCAGCCGCGGUAAUACGAAGGGUGCAAGCGUUAAUCGGAAUUACUGGGCGUAAAGGGUGCGUAGGCGGUUUGUUAAGUCUGUCGUGAAAUCCCCGGGCUCAACCUGGGAAUGGCGAUGGAUACUGGCAAGCUAGAGUGUGUCAGAGGAUGGUGGAAUUUCCGGUGUAGCGGUGAAAUGCGUAGAGAUCGGAAGGAACAUCAGUGGCGAAGGCGGCCAUCUGGGACAACACUGACGCUGAAGCACGAAAGCGUGGGGAGCAAACAGGAUUAGAUACCCUGGUAGUCCACGCCCUAAACGAUGCGAACUGGAUGUUGGUCUCAACUCGGAGAUCAGUGUCGAAGCUAACGCGUUAAGUUCGCCGCCUGGGGAGUACGGUCGCAAGACUGAAACUCAAAGGAAUGA
rnacentral:rRNA from 1 species